rnacentral:rRNA from 1 species
GACGAACGCUGGCGGCGUGCUUAACACAUGCAAGUCGAACGGAAAGGCCCUGCUUUUGUGGCGUGCUCGAGUGGCGAACGGGUGAGUAACACGUGAGUAACCUGCCCUUGACUUUGUGAUAACUUCAGGAAACUGGGGCUAAUACCGGAUAGGAGCUCCUGCUGCAUGGUGGGGGUUGGAAAGUUUCGGUGGUUGGGGGUGGACUCGCGGCUUAUCAGCUUGUUGGGGGGGUGGUGGCUUACCAAGGCUUUGACGGGUCGCCGGCCUGAGAGGGUGACCGGCCACAUUGGGACUGAGAUACGGCCCAGACUCCUACGGGAGGCAGCAGUGGGGAAUAUUGCACAAUGGGCGGAAGCCUGAUGCAGCAACGCCGCGUGCGGGAUGACGGCCUUCGGGUUGUAAACCGCUUUCGCCUGAGACGAAGCGUGAGUGACGGUAAUGGGUAAAGAAGCACCGGCUAACUACGUG